rnacentral:misc_RNA from 1 species
UGGUUCUGGCAUCGAUGAAGAACGCAGCGAAAUGCGAUAAGUAAUGUGAAUUGCAGAAUUCAGUGAAUCAUCGAAUCUUUGAACGCACAUUGCGCCCCCUGGUAUUCCGGGGGGCAUGCCUGUUCGAGCGUCAUUUCACCAAUCAAGCCCCGCUUGGUAUUGGGCGAUCGGCCCGCACCCCGUCGUGCGGGCCCGCCCCAAAGGCAUCGGCGAGGACACCGACCCCCGGCGUGUUAAGAUCUCCCCCCGUGGGAACGACGUCAGGAGCACCGGUGCGCUCGGCCGCGAAAUGACGGGGACUCCCCAUCUCAGGGACCCCCCGAAAACCCCAUCAGGUUGACCUCGGAUCAGGUAGGAAUACCCGCUGA